rnacentral:rRNA from 1 species
CCGGUGCUUGCACCGGGGAUUAGUGGCGAACGGGUGAGUAACACGUGAGUAACCUGCCCUUGACUCUGGGAUAAGCCUGGGAAACCGGGUCUAAUACCGGAUAUGACCUGUCACCGCAUGGUGGUGGGUGGAAAGAUUUUUUGGUCUUGGAUGGACUCGCGGCCUAUCAGCUUGUUGGUGGGGUAAUGGCCUACCAAGGCGACGACGGGUAGCCGGCCUGAGAGGGUGACCGGCCACACUGGGACUGAGACACGGCCCAGACUCCUACGGGAGGCAGCAGUGGGGAAUAUUGCACAAUGGGCGCAAGCCUGAUGCAGCGACGCCGCGUGAGGGAUGAAUGCCUUCGGGUUGUAAACCUCUUUCAGCAGGGAAGAAGCGAAAGUGACGGUACCUGCAGAAGAAGCGCCGGCUAACUACGUGCCAGCAGCCGCGGUAAUACGUAGGGCGCAAGCGUUGUCCGGAAUUAUUGGGCGUAAAGAGCUCGUAGGCGGUUUGUCGCGUCUGCUGUGAAAGCCCGGGGCUCAACCCCGGGUCUGCAGUGGGUACGGGCAGACUAGAGUGCAGUAGGGGAGACUGGAAUUCCUGGUGUAGCGGUGAAAUGCGCAGAUAUCAGGAGGAACACCGAUGGCGAAGGCAGGUCUCUGGGCUGUAACUGACGCUGAGGAGCGAAAGCAUGGGGAGCGAACAGGAUUAGAUACCCUGGUAGUCCAUGCCGUAAACGUUGGGCACUAGGUGUGGGGGGACAUUCCACGUUUUUCCGCGCCGUAGCUAACGCAUUAAGUGCCCCGCCUGGGGAGUACGGCCGCAAGGCUAAAACUCAAAGGGAAUUGACGGGGCCCGCACAAGCGGGCGGAGCAUGCGGAUUAAUUUCGAUGC